GGGGCCGUCGGCUAGCAUGGUCUAGGCUCUGAGCCUCGGGCGCUCGGGACCCCGGUUCGAAUCCGGGCGGCCCCACCA
rnacentral:tRNA from 1 species